GGCUGGAUAGCUCAGUUGGUAGAGCACUGGUGCGGUAUUCCGGAGAUCGCAGGUUCGAAUCCCGCUCCGGUCA